UGGAUGAUGGAUGGAUGGAUGGAUGGAUGGAUGAUGGAUGGAUGAUGGAUGGAUGGAUGAUGGAUGGAUGAUGGAUGGAUGAUGGAUGGAUGAUGGAUGGAUGGAUGAUGGAUGGAUGAUGGAUGGAUGGAUGGAUGGAUGGAUGGAUGGAUGGAUGGAUGAUGGAUGGAUGGAUGAUGGAUGGAUGGAUGAUGGAUGGAUGAUGGAUGGAUGGAUGAUGGAUGGAUGGAUGAUGGAUGGAUGAUGGAUGGAUGGAUGAUGGAUGGAUGAUGGAUGGAUGGAUGAUGGAUGGAUGGAUGAUGGAUGGAUGGAUGAUGGAUGGAUGAUGGAUGGAUGAUGGAUGGAUGGAUGGAUGGAUGGAUGGAUGGAUGGAUGAUGGAUGGAUGGAUGAUGGAUGGAUGGAUGAUGGAUGGAUGAUGGAUGGAUGGAUGAUGGAUGGAUGGAUGAUGGAUGGAUGAUGGAUGGAUGAUGGAUGGAUGGAUGGAUGGAUGGAUGGAGGAUGGAUGAUGGAUGGAUGGAUGAUGGAUGGAUGGAUGGAUGAUGGAUGGAUGGAUGAUGGAUGGAUGGAUGGAUGAUGGAUGGAUGGAUGAUGGAUGAUGGAUGGAUGGAUGGAUGGAUGGAUGAUGGAUGGAUGGAUGAUGGAUGAUGGAUGGAUGGAUGAUGGAUGGAUGGAUGGAUGGAUGAUGGAGCCAUGGGUACUCCAAGGCAGGAGGGCUGAUCUGGGGCAGGAUGGACGUGCCCAGGAGAGAUGGAUACUCUAAGGUGGGACAGAUGCUCCGGGUGGGAAUAUCCUGGAUACCCCAGGACAGGACGGAUGCUCCGGUGGGACCCGGCUCCUCCCGCCUUUCCUGGCUCUCUCCCCACUCCAAUCCAGAGCCUCACCCACAAUUCCAGAAUCUGAUCCCAGAUCCCGGAUCUCCGCCUGUCCGGGAUGAGGAUCCUGAUGCCACCCGGGGUGUGGGGACACCGCGGUCCCUGUCCCCUGCCAUUAAUUAUCGCCAUUAUUAUCGAUAUUAAUUAUCAGAUUUAUUUUGACCACAGGGAGGGGGGCGGUCCCUGGGUGUCCCUGUCCCCUCCCCCAGCCGGGAAUUUUGUACAUAAAACGGGAAGAAUUCCCAACAUUCCCCUUUUCCUCCACUCGGGGGUCGCUCGUGUCCCUCCCCUCGUGUCUGUCCCCUCUCGGUGUCACCGCGUGUCCCCCCCACCCCGGGCUGGGGGGGGUGACCUUUGGGGACAAUGUCCCCCCCUUGCGGAGGUGGCGCAGGGCGUGGCCGGGGGCCCGAGUGGGAAUUAAAGACCUCGUGGAAAA